UACGUAGGGCGCAAGCGUUGUCCGGAAUUAUUGGGCGUAAAGAGCUCGUAGGCGGUCUGUCGCGUCUGCCGUGAAAACCCGGGGCUCAACUGCGGGUCUGCAGUCGAUACGGGCAGGCUAGAGUUCGGUAGGGGAGACUGGAAUUCCUGGUGUAGCGGUGAAAUGCGCAGAUAUCAGGAGGAACACCGAUGGCGAAGGCAGGUCUCUGGGCCGAUACUGACGCUGAGGAGCGAAAGCGUGGGGAGCGAACAGG
rnacentral:rRNA from 1 species